rnacentral:rRNA from 1 species
CGGCAGCACGGGAGCAAUCCUGGUGGCAAGUGGCGAACGGGUGAGUAAUACAUCGGAACGUGUCUAUAAGUGGGGGAUAACGCAGCGAAAGCUGUGCUAAUACCGCAUACGAUCUACGGAUGAAAGUGGGGGACCGCAAGGCCUCACGCUAUCGGAGGAGCCCGCGCCCUAUCAGCUAGUUGGUGAGGUAAUGGCUCACCAAGGCUUAGACGGGUAGCUGGUCUGAGAGGACGACCAGCCACACUGGAACUGAGACACGGCCCAGACUCC